rnacentral:rRNA from 1 species
UACGUAGGGUGCAAGCGUUGUCCGGAAUUAUUGGGCGUAAAGAGCUCGUAGGCGGUCUGUCGCGUCGGCUGUGAAAUCCCGAGGCUCAACCUCGGGUCUGCAGUCGAUACGGGCAAACUAGAGUAUUGCAGAGGAGACUGGAAUUCCUGGUGUAGCAGUGAAAUGCGUAGAUAUCAGGAGGAACACCGAUGGCGAAGGCAGGUCUCUGGGCUGACACUGACGCUCAUGCACGAAAGCGUGGGGAGCAAACAGG